CCCAUUAGAAUUCGUCCCAACACCCGGCCGACCCGCCGGGUGGUGACCCGAGGAGC
rnacentral:ncRNA from 2 species